rnacentral:lncRNA from 1 species
GUGAUCAGACCGGGCCCAAACCUCGUUCCCCGAGGAUGAAGCACGAGGUCUGUUAGCUAAUACUAAUUGAGACGUCUUCCGCGUGGCGCUCCGCCUUGCUCACCUCCGGCGUUGCGGAUGGAACUUAGCAAAAAUACGCGAGGUGCCAGAGUGUGGCUCACUUUCACACAAGGGGAGAGAAAGGGAGAAAAUGGAGAGCGAGCAAGAAGGAGAAGGGGGGUAUUAAUAGCUUUGGACGGCGCAGUGGUGUCAAACUGGGGAACGCAGCUCUGCCAAGGCCUGCUCCGAGCUGGGAAAAACACUGAUGUCAUCGCAAGGGGACUGACAUCAAAUGCGGUGCGCACCUCUUCUCACCCGGACCCUAUGCGGUGAUGUCACAGCGUUGCCGUGGGAGACGUGACGGAACACAAGGGUCACUGGUGCCGGUCAUCUAAGCCACAUCCUUUGGCUCCACGACCCAUGUGAGUCAGGAUCGCGUGGCGGCGCGAUCACCUCGGCUCCCGGCAGCUUGGCCUGCGUGGGGUGGCUGGUGGGGAGCCGAGUCGGGGAGGAAGAGUCGUGACGCCUUCCCAUCCUCCCUUUGUUAUUAAGAGAUCUCAAAAAUAGAAAUUUGCCUACAGAAUGAAAGGUCAUGAUUUUAUUAUCAUGUUCGGAGAAACUGUGGGGCGCGGUGGCACAGUGGGUUGGACCGGGUCCUGCUUUCCGGUGGGUCUGGGAUUCGAGUCCCGCUUGGGGUGCCUUACGACAGACUGGUGUCCCAUCCUGGGAGUUAUAGCUCAGCUGUAGUGGAGUUUGACUGAGAGAGGCCCAUAAAUCCCAUCAUGAGGAGCUGGGAUGCCUCUCUCUCCCACUUUCCAGUGGGGGAGCAGAUUUCACCCACCGGGGCUCCCCCCCCCCCCACCUGCGGUUGCCCGCAUCGAUCGCCUGAUGGAUGUUCAAACCGUUCAAACAAAGCAGUCCAGGCGCUUCCACCCACCCCCCAGGGAGGGGGCUCUGGCGGAGAACGUGAGCGGAUUGGAGCGCAGGAUUGCCCUGGCAGCCUCUCCCAGCAGCCCUGAGGAUGUAGUCAGCAUGAGGUUGGGUUUCCAGGCAGGCGGAGAGGGACGUGGGGCUCGGCGAGUUCACAUCGAGCAGGCACAGGUGUGGCAUGUUCAGCACAGUUACUGUAGGUCUCCAGAUAUUUUUUGCACCUAA